UACGAAGGGGGCGAGCGUUGUUCGGAAUUACUGGGCGUAAAGGGCGCGUAGGCGGGUCUUUAAGUCAGAGGUGAAAUCCUGGAGCUCAACUCCAGAACUGCCUUUGAUACUGAAGAUCUUGAGUUCGGGAGAGGUGAGUGGAACUGCGAGUGUAGAGGUGAAAUUCGUAGAUAUUCGCAAGAACACCAGUGGCGAAGGCGGCUCACUGGCCCGAUACUGACGCUGAGGCACGAAAGCGUGGGGAGCAAACAGG
rnacentral:rRNA from 1 species